CCUACGGGAGGCAGCAGUGGGGAAUAUUGCGCAAUGGGCGAAAGCCUGACGCAGCGACGCCGCGUGAGGGAUGAAGGUCUUCGGAUCGUAAACCUCUGUCAGCAGGGAAGAACGGUCACUGUGCUAAUCAGCAGUGAAUUGACGGUACCUGCAAAGGAAGCACCGGCUAACUCCGUGCCAGCCGCCGCGGUAAUACGGAGGGUGCGAGCGUUAAUCGGAAUUACUGGGCGUAAAGCGCUCGUAGGCGGUAUGUCAAGUCAAGGGUGAAAUCCCCGGGCUCAACGUGGGAACUGCCUUUGAAACUGGCAAACUGGAGUGUGUGAGAGGAGAGUGGAAUUCCAGGUGUAGGAGUGAAAUCCGUAGAUAUCUGGAGGAACAUCAGUGGCGAAGGCGACUAUCUGGCACAUAACUGACGCUGAGGAGCGAAAGCGUGGGUAGCAAACAGGAUUAGAUACCCGAGUAGUC
rnacentral:rRNA from 1 species